GAUGAACGCUGACGGCGUGCCUAAUACAUGCAAGUCGAGCGAACGGACGAGAAGCUUGCUUCUCUGAUGUUAGCGGCGGACGGGUGAGUAACACGUGGAUAACCUACCUAUAAGACUGGGAUAACUUCGGGAAACCGGAGCUAAUACCGGAUAAUAUUUUGAACCGCAUGGUUCAAAAGUGAAAGACGGUCUUGCUGUCACUUAUAGAUGGAUCCGCGCUGCAUUAGCUAGUUGGUAAGGUAACGGCUUACCAAGGCAACGAUGCAUAGCCGACCUGAGAGGGUGAUCCGCCACACGGGAACUGAGACACGGUCCAGACUCCGACGGGAGGCAGCAGUAGGGAAUCUUCCGCAAUGGGCGAAAGCCUGACGGAGCAACGCCGCGUGAGGGAUGAAGGUCUUCGGAUCGUAAAACUCUGUUAUUAGGGAAGAACAUAUGUGUAAGUAACUGUGCACAUCUUGACGGUACCUAAUCAGAAAGCCACGGCUAACUACGUG
rnacentral:rRNA from 1 species